UCCUACGGGAGGCAGCAGUAGGGAAUCUUGCGCAAUGGGCGAAAGCCUGACGCAGCGACGCCGCGUGCGGGACGAAGGCCUUCGGGUUGUAAACCGCUUUCAGCAGGGACGAAGCGAAAGUGACGGUACCUGCAGAAGAAGGUCCGGCCAACUACGUGCCAGCAGCCGCGGUAAUACGUAGGGACCGAGCGUUGUCCGGAUUCAUUGGGCGUAAAGAGCUCGUAGGCGGCUGCUCAAGUCGAAUGUGAAACCUCGAGGCUUAACCUCGAGCCUGCAUUCGAUACUGGGCGGCUAGGGUCUGGUAGGGGGAUCUGGAAUUCCUGGUGUAGCGGUGGAAUGCGCAGAUAUCAGGAGGAACACCGGUGGCGAAGGCGGGAUCCUGGGCCAGUACUGACGCUGAGGAGCGAAAGCGUGGGGAGCAAACAGGAUUAGAUACCCUGGUAGUCCACGCCGUAAACGAUGGGCGCUAGGUGUGGGAGGUCAUCGACUCCUUCCGUGCCGCAGCUAACGCAUUAAGCGCCCCGCCUGGGGAGUACGGCCGCAAGGCUAAAACUCAAAGGAAUUGACGGA
rnacentral:rRNA from 1 species